UACGAAGGGGGGCUAGCGUUGUUCGGAAUUACUGGGCGUAAAGCGCGCGCAGGCGGCUAUCCAAGUCAGUGGUGAAAGCCCGGGGACUCAACCCCGGAACUGCCUUUGAAACUAGAUAGCUAGAAUCUUGGAGAGGUCAGUGGAAUUCCGAGUGUAGAGGUGAAAUUCGUAGAUAUUCGGAAGAACACCAGUGGCGAAGGCGACUGACUGGACAAGUAUUGACGCUGAGGUGCGAAAGCGUGGGGAGCAAACAGG
rnacentral:rRNA from 1 species